rnacentral:misc_RNA from 1 species
GAUGAAGAACGUAGCGAAAUGCGAUAAGUAAUGCGAAUUGCAGAAUUUCCGUGAGUCAUCGAAUCUUUGAACGCACAUUGCGCCCUUUGGUAUUCCGAAGGGCAUGCCUGUUCGAGCGUCAUUAAAUAACCCUCAAGCAUAGCUUGGUGUUGGGCUUUUUUACGUCCUUGACUGGGAUGGGCCUAAAAAUUAGUGGCGAUGGCUUUUUUACUUUCAAGCGUAGUAAAUCUCGUCUUGCUAAAGAGGAAAAAGAUUUUUUUUCUGCCAAAAAUUUUAACAUUUAAAGUUGACCUCGGAUCAGGUAGGAUUACCCGCUGAACUUAAGCAUAUCAAUAAGCGGAGGA